AGAGUUUGAUCCUGGCUCAGGAUGAACGCUGGCGGCGUGCCUAACACAUGCAAGUCGAACGGGCUCGGAUUGAAACCUAGUGAUUUCCGAGUUAGUGGCGGACGGGUGAGUAACGCGUGGAUAACCUGCCGUAUGCAGGGGGAUAACAGUUGGAAACAGCUGCUAAUACCGCAUAAGCGCACAGUACCGCAUGGUACGGUGUGAAAAGAUUUAUCGGCAUACGAUGGAUCCGCGUCUGAUUAGCCAGUUGGCGGGGUAACGGCCCACCAAAGCGACGAUCGGUAGCCGGCCUGAGAGGGCGGACGGCCACAUUGGGACUGAGACACGGCCCAAACUCCUACGGGAGGCAGCAGUGGGGAAUAUUGCACAAUGGGGGAAACCCUGAUGCAGCGACGCCGCGUGAGUGAAGAAGUAUUUCGGUAUGUAAAGCUCUAUCAGCAGGGAAGAAAAUGACGGUACCUGACUAAGAAGCCCCGGCUAACUACGUG
rnacentral:rRNA from 1 species